rnacentral:rRNA from 1 species
UACGUAGGGUGCGAGCGUUAAUCGGAAUUACUGGGCGUAAAGUGUGCGCAGGCGGCCAUGCAAGUCGAGUGUGAAAGCCCCGGGCUUAACUUGGGAAUUGCGCUCGAAACUACGUGGCUGGAGUUUGGCAGAGGGGGGUAGAAUUCCACGUGUAGCAGUGAAAUGCGUAGAGAUGUGGAGGAACACCGAUGGCGAAGGCAGCCCCCUGGGUCAAAACUGACGCUCAUGCACGAAAGCGUGGGGAGCAAACAGG